rnacentral:lncRNA from 1 species
UGGAGUGUCCUAUGGUUAAAUUAAAUAGGUUAUGAAAUUGGCACUAUUUGUACUAAUUGGUAUGAAAUUUUUUUUUUUUUUUGAGUUUGAAUAGAAAUUCGUAAUGCAACUUUGUAAAAAUAAAAAUUGAUACUUUUGAAGUUGUACGAGUAUGAAAUGAACAUUUUCACUAAAUGAAUAAAAGACAGAAAACCAAAGAUAAAGAAGAUAGAUAUACCUUGUGUUUAACCUCAAAUUGAGA